rnacentral:rRNA from 1 species
UACAGAGGGUGCAAGCGUUAAUCGGAAUUACUGGGCGUAAAGAGCACGUAGGUGGAUACCUAAGUCGAAUGUGAAAUCCCUGGGCUUAACCUAGGAACUGCAUACGAUACUGGGUGUCUAGAGUAUGGUAGAGGGAAGUGGAAUUUCCGGAGUAGCGGUGAAAUGCGUAGAUAUCGGAAGGAACACCAGUGGCGAAGGCGGCUUCCUGGACUAAUACUGACACUGAGGUGCGAAAGCAUGGGGAGCAAACAGGAUUAGAUACCCUGGUAGUCCAUGCUGUAAACGAUGAGAACUAGGCGUUGGGGAGUUUCCCUAGUGCCGAAGCUAACGCGUUAAGUUCUCCGCCUGGGGAGUACGGCCGCAAGGCUAAA